rnacentral:rRNA from 1 species
GAUGAACGCUAGCGACAGGCUUAACACAUGCAAGUCGAGGGGCAGCGGGGGUAGCAAUACCCGCCGGCGACCGGCGCACGGGUGAGUAACGCGUAUGCAACUUACCUAUCAGAGGGGGAUAACCCGGCGAAAGUAGGACUAAUACAGCAUGAAGCAGGGGCCACGCAUGGGGAUAUUUGCUAAAGACUCAUCGCUGCUCGAUAGGCUGGCGUUCCAGUAAGCCGUUGGCGGGGGAACGGCCCACCAAACCGACGAUGGAUAGGUGUGCUGAGAGGAAGUUACCGCACAUUAGUACGGAGACACGGGCAAAACUCCUACGGGAGGCAGCAGUGAGGAAUAUUGGUCAAUGGGCGCGAGCCUGAACCAGCCAAGUCGCGUGAGGGAUGAAGGUUCUAUGGAUCGUAAACCUCUUUUAUAAGGGAACAAAGUGCUGGACGUGUCCUGUUUUGUAUGUACCUUAUGAAUAAGGAUCGGCUAACUCCGUGCCAGCAGCCGCGGUAA